GACGUAGGUGGCGAACGUUAUCCGGAAUUAUUGGGCGUAAAGGGUGCGUAGGCGGCAUAAUAAGUUAUUGGCGGGAAAUCGAGGCUCAACCUCGUGGAAACUGAUAAUACUGUUUUGCUUGAGUACAGGAGAGGUUAACGGAACUCCAUGUGGAGCGGUAAAAUGUGUAGAUAUAUGGGAAGAACAUCAAUAACGGCGAAAGGCAGUUAACUAUUCUGUUUACUGACUUUGAGGGCACGAAAGCGUGGGGAGCAAAAAGG
rnacentral:rRNA from 1 species